rnacentral:hammerhead_ribozyme from 1 species
AUCCAGCUGAGGAGUUCCAAAUAGGACGAAACGCGCGUCCUGGAU